rnacentral:rRNA from 1 species
GACGAACGCUGGCGGCGUGCCUAAUACAUGCAAGUAGAACGCUGAAGGAGGAGCUUGCUCUUCUGGAUGAGUUGCGAACGGGCGAGUAACGCGUAGGUAACCUGCCUGGUAGCGGGGGAUAACUAUUGGAAACGAUAGCUAAUACCGCAUAACAGUAGAUGUUGCAUGACAUUUGCUUAAAAGGUGCAAUUGCACCACUACCAGAUGGACCUGCGUUGUAUUAGCUAGUUGGUGGGGUAACGGCUCACCAAGGCGACGAUACAUAGCCGACCUGAGAGGGUGAUCGGCCACACUGGGACUGAGACACGGCCCAGACUCCUACGGGAGGCAGCAGUAGGGAAUCUUCGGCAAUGGACGGAAGUCUGACCGAGCCACGCCGCGUGAGUGAAGAAGGUUUUCGGAUCGUAAAGCUCUGUUGUAAGAGAAGAACGAGUGUGAGAGUGGAAAGUUCACACUGUGACGGUAUCUUACCAGAAAGGGACGGCUAACUACGUG